CUCGGGUUGGUUUGGUGCCUGCGGAUAUGCUCAACCCACUACGGGGUAUCGGCCAGGAAUCGGAUGGCAGUAGUGUCCCAGUGACGACGCCCCAAGAGCCUGGUGAAAUGGCACAUGGACACCAUCUUCGUCUUCACCAGCGGCCCCAUUGCCACCACAAUCGCCAUCGGCGCGCGCCAGAGCCCCAGCCUUCGACCAGCCGCGCGCCGACAUAGCGCAUCCUUGUCGGCCGAACUCGUCCCAGCGGCGGCGACCAAAAAAGGAACAAGGCUCUCGACACACUGCCGGCACUCGGCGCGGCCGACGCUAGCGCGGUCGCCCCCCUUCGUUCCACCGUCAGCCACACCUCCCGGGGUUCCGGCCGUUCCGGCCCAUUCCGAAACAUGCUGGGCAAGAAGACGGCCCCCGUUCGUCGGGUCGUCAGGGGUCCCCUGGACCAGGAGUUCGCCGAGCGGAACUUUAUGUUUCGAGCCGCGGCCCUGCUCGGCGUGUUCCUCAUCGUCACCUUGGUCGUGACCGUCGGCGCAACCCUCUACAUGACCUUCAUCAAGCCCGGUUCGUACGCCCGGCUCCGCUAGAGAGGGGGCGCGGCCUCAGAGAUGCGCGUGCGCGAGCGAGCUUUUUUACCAUCACCCGAUUCGCCGACGUGCGGUCCACCCAGCGGCGGGGAAACGAACUGUUCGCGGGACCCCGUUCGUUUCCCACCACCAGAGGCGAGACGCAUCGACGUGCUUCUCGGAUCGUCUGCGGAGGCGUCCAGACGCGACGUUGGUCGUGGAAGGCGAACUUGUGGGGGGAACCUUCGCACGCGAGCGAUGUCGUGACGUAGUCGUUUCCCUGGACAGUGUAGCCGCCUGUGAGCUGAGCAUAUUGCUGCGACUCGCAAGAAUGGGCGAGUGUUCGGGCUCGACGUGCUUUCAUUAAAGCUUGCGUGAAAGUGCAUCGUUUUGUCGCUU